GCCAAGAUAGCUCAGCUGGUAGAGCAGCGCACUCGUAAUGCGCAGGUCCUCGGUUCGAUUCCGAGUCUUGGCU
rnacentral:tRNA from 1 species